rnacentral:rRNA from 1 species
UACGUAGGGUGCAAGCGUUGUCCGGAAUUAUUGGGCGUAAAGAGCUCGUAGGCGGUCUGUCGCGUCUGCUGUGAAAAUCCAGGGCUCAACCCUGGACCUGCAGUGGGUACGGGCAGACUAGAGUGCGGUAGGGGAGAUCGGAAUUCCAGGUGUAGCGGUGAAAUGCGUAGAUAUCCGGAGGAACACCGGUGGCGAAGGCGGCAUCCUGGACCGGCAUUGACGCUGAGGCGCGAAAGCUAGGGGAGCAAACGGG